UUCCCCAAUCUCUCUCCCCCUCCGCCGCCACCCCCUCGUCUUGUCACUCCUCCUAGAUCUGCUCCUCUCUCGCUCCUCCUUGAUCCCCACCUAGAUUCGCUCCUCUCUCCCUCCACUAUCCCCACCUAGAUUCGCUCCUCUCUCGCUUCUCCUCGAUGCCGAUUUUUUAGAGCAAGCAGAUUGGAUCGAUGGUGACCGCAUGAGCGUGCCGCCGCCGCAUGGAAUCGCCUUGCCGCUGCGUGGAGUCGCUUUGUCGCCGCCGCUCGUUGCCACUUGCCAGCAAGGUAACUUCGUCCCAACCACUUCUCACCUCCAGGUCCUCUCAUGCUGCUGCUUGUCGUGGUCGUCUUGUCCGCUGGGCGCUUGCUUCCUACUAACAUACUACAUGUGUGCUUGCUGCUGCCGUAGUACAUGCGUGCUUGUUGUUUCUGUAGUACAUACGUGGUUGCUAGGUGAUGGGUUGCAUGCUUGCGUGAUUGAUUUCCUUCAUCUUGCAGGUGCACACACGCACCUAACAUCCAGGGAAGUCCACCAUCUGAACCACCACGACCAUCCCUCUUGGCUAGCACAAGCAGCGCUAUUGGCACUUCGGAAGUGAAGGCAAGCAGCCAAGAACUGUA
rnacentral:lncRNA from 1 species